UUUUGAUGGGUAAGCUAAAACCUCUUAGGUGU
rnacentral:piRNA from 1 species